GUAUUUUGUGCUGGUAGUCUUGAACGUCUUGAAUAGUAAUGGUGGCGGGCGUAAGAAAGUUGUGUGCUAUGUGCUUGUUCGAAUAUUGGUCGGUAUAUUUCUUUUGUUUGGUCCUUUCCGAGGUGCGUACGUCAGAUAGACCCAUCAUGGAAGCCAUGAAGACGUCCCCUCAGUAAGUAUAUAUAUUUCUACAUAAUUAAUAAUUAAAUUGACACGCUAAGCCUCAGAACAGUAGAUUUAAUUUUUUAAAACUUCUUUACUUUUGAGUAUUGGCAUUCUGUUUAAUUAUUUUGAUGGCUUCUUUGUCAUAACUAUGUAUGUUUACAAUGAUUGCUUUGCCAAACAGUAGAUGUCACUGAGAGCAGUAGCUGUUUGAGUUUCAGAGAGCUAAGGCUUAGCGUAUUAAAAUAUUUUAUGCUUGUUAUAAGAUAUGAAAGAAGCCGUAGUAGUUCAGUCAGUAUAGUGACUAGAAUACGGUCAGAACGACCGGCUAAUCGGGGUUCGAUCCUCAGCAGGAAACAAUUUUUCAUAGCAUCCAGCCCGGCUGUGGUACUUCACAAACUUCUAGCCAAAGGGCACCGCUUCAUCUUUCCCCGGGGGAAGUGGUUCUCCAUUUGCGUCCAGUACCAAGGUGGAGAAUGCGUGGAGCUAUACGUCCAGUAUUGGUUGGGUUGUAUUUAAUUACACAAAGGCAGAAAUUUGCAUUUAGUUUACUGAAUUUUGAAGAUAACCUAGAACUAGCAAUGCAUAUGCUUAUGGCCACCGCUAAGGCGGCGUACGUACGAGUCUGGCUCGCGAAAUUUCCUGUAUAUUAAUUGUACCCCAUGAUGAGUCGAUCAGUUUCACUUGCUCCAUAUUCGCAUCUGUAGUCUGUUGGUAAUCUGUUUAAAACCAUACAAAUAAACAAAUAAAUGUGUAUAGUUGUACAAAAACACAAAAACUAUAUUAAUAACGGUGUUUCUAUAGUGUAACACUCACAUUUUCCCAGCUGACUACAAGACAUCAACUGAAAAACAAUUGGCAUUAUACAAACAAAUUAAAUAUACAACAAUUGUCAACACGGUAUUGCACAUAUCCGGCCCAUACACAUUAUCACAUAACAGGACGCACCAUUGUCAGUAAAGUUGUAAGCUUUUUUUUUUUUUGGCUGUUUGGAAGCUGCUAGAAGAAUAAUAAUAAGAAAAGGGGGUUUUCCAUGUAUUAAUGCGAAAACGAACAAACCGCAUGCGUUGAUCUUCAGUUGCUUUAUUGUCGCAACACAGCAACAAUAUGGAAUUAUGCCCUUAUUUGUCCAUUUUAUCUGAACGUUUAUGCUUCCACGGUCGGUAAAUAAAUCAG